GGGGAUGUGGGAUGCAGGACCGGCUGGCACAACGCACCGGAAAAGGGCCUGGGUGGGUGAAAUCGGCUCCGAGCAGAAACUGACAUCCAAGGGGAAGAGUACAGGGGAAGGCUGAAAUGGGCACCCUCAGUACUCCAGACUCGGGAAUUAUAGAAUGUGUGAGUGUCGCUUUUGGAGGUGUGGUGGUGCACGGCUGUGCUCCCGCGGAGCCUGCAGUACUCUAAAAGGCCAGAAGAGGGCAUCAGAUACACGGGAAUGAAGUUACGGACUGUGUGCGGCCGCCACACUUGGGUGCUGAGAAUGAAACCUUUGCAAGAGCAACAGGUUCUCCUAACCAGUGGGGCAGCGCUUCAGCUCCUCAGGAAGCUCCCUAAAACAGAGGUCAUCUGAUCGGCCCUUUCUCCUUCCUUCAGGAGGGCUGGUGAGACGCUCGGCAGGGAAAAGCACUAGCCACACAAACCUGGCAACCUGAAUUCAAUCAGCGGAACCCACAGCAGAAAGAGAAAACUGACCUCCCAAAGGUUGUCCUCUGACCCCCACACCCAGAUUCAACCUGCAGCCCCUCACACACAGUAAUGCAAUAAAGAUGUGAAAUUCUGAA